GCGGGGGUUGCCGAGUGGAAAAGGCGCACGGCUUAAGACCGUGUCCCGAAGGGGUCCGCGGGUUCGAAUCCCGCCCCCCGCA
rnacentral:tRNA from 2 species